UACAGAGGUCCCAAGCGUUGUUCGGAUUCAUUGGGCGUAAAGGGUGCGUAGGCGGCGCGGUAAGUCGGGGGUGAAAUCUCGGGGCUUAACUCCGAAACUGCAUUCGAUACUGCAGUGCUUGAGGACUGGAGAGGAGACUGGAAUUUACGGUGUAGCGGUGAAAUGCGUAGAUAUCGUAAGGAAGACCAGUGGCGAAGGCGGGUCUCUGGACAGUUCCUGACGCUGAGGCACGAAGGCUAGGGGAGCAAACGGG
rnacentral:rRNA from 1 species